GAUUCGUUCCCUUGAAGCAAUAUUAAUCGUGUUGCUCUCGUUCUCUAAAUUGCUCUCUAAUCAUCAAAGUAAUCAUACGGUUAAUUCUAGUAUGAUACCGAUUAGUGAGCAUAACUUGAGCAGCUACAUAA
rnacentral:snoRNA from 1 species